rnacentral:rRNA from 1 species
GACGAACGCUGGCGGCGUGCUUAACACAUGCAAGUCGAACGGAAAGGCCCUGCUUGCAGGGUACUCGAGUGGCGAACGGGUGAGUAACACGUGGGAGAUCUGCCCUGCACUUCGGGAUAAGCCUGGGAAACUGGGUCUAAUACCGGAUAGGAGCCAUUUUUAGUGUGAUGGUUGGAAAGUUUUUUCGGUGUAGGAUGAGCUCGCGGCCUAUCAGCUUGUUGGUGGGGUAAUGGCCUACCAAGGCGGCGACGGGUAGCCGGCCUGAGAGGGUGGACGGCCACAUUGGGACUGAGAUGCGGCCCAGACUCCUACGGGAGGCAGCAGUGGGGAAUAUUGCACAAUGGGCGCAAGCCUGAUGCAGCGACGCCGCGUGGGGGAUGACGGCCUUCGGGUUGUAAACUCCUUUCGCUAGGGACGAAGCUUUUUGUGACGGUACCUAGAUAAGAAGCACCGGCUAACUACGUG